rnacentral:lncRNA from 1 species
ACUUGGUGGGGUCUAGGUGGGAUCUGGGGGAAUCUAGGUGGAAUCUGGGGGGAUCCGGGGGAUCUAGGUGGGAUGCAGGGAGGUCUGGGGGAUCUUGGGGGGGUCUAGGUGGGAUCUGGGGGGUCUAGGUGGGAUCUGGGGGGUCUAGGUGGGAUUUUAGGGUAACUUGGGGGGGUCUUGGGGAUCUAGGAGGGAUCUGGUUGGGAUCUGGGGUAACUCAGUGGGAUCUGGAGGGUCCAGGUGGGAUCUGGGUGGGAUCUGGGGGUAACUCGAUGGGAUCUGGGGGGAUCUAGGUGGGAUCUGGGGUAACCAGGAGGGAUCUGGGGGGAUCUGGGUGGGAUCUGGGGUAACCAGGAGGGAUCUGGAGGGAUCUAGGAGGGAUCUGGGGGUAACUAGGAGGGAUCUGAGGGGUCUAGGUGGGAUUUGGGGGUAACUAGGAGGAGUCUUGGGGNCACCCCAAAAUCCCCCUCCAAAAUGGGGCGAAAUCCCACGAUUUUGGGGUCCCCCAUCCUCCUCCUUCAGACACCUCAGAAUGGGGCAAAACCCCUCAGUUUUGGGGUUCCCGUCCUCCUCCUUUAGACAGCUCAAAAUGGGACAAAACUUCACAAUUUUGGGGCUCCUCCAGGCACCUCAAAAUGGGGCAAAACCUCACGAUUUUGGGGUCCCCAUCCUCCUCCUUCAGACACCUCAAAAUGGGGCGAAAUCCCACGAUUUUGGAGUCCCCAUCCUCCUCCUUCAGACACCUCAGAAUGGGGCAAAACCCCUCAAUUUUGGGGUUUCUUGAACCACCUCAGAAUGGGGCAAAAC